rnacentral:rRNA from 1 species
ACCGUAGUAAGCUCUUGAAACUGGGAGACUUGAGUGCAGGAGAGGAGAGUGGAAUUCCUAGUGUAGCGGUGAAAUGCGUAGAUAUUAGGAGGAACACCAGUUGCGAAGGCGGCUCGCUGGACUGUAACUGACGCUGAGGCACGAAAGCGUGGGGAGCAAACAGGAUUAGAUACCCUGGUAGUCCACGCUGUAAACGAUGAGUACUAGGUGUCGGGGGUUACCCCC